GAUGAACGCUGGCGGCGUGCCUAACACAUGCAAGUCGAGCGAUUCUCUUCGGAGAAGAGCGGCGGACGGGUGAGUAACACGUGGGUAACCUGCCCUGUACACACGGAUAACAUACCGAAAGGUAUGCUAAUACGAGAUAAUAUACUUUUAUCGCAUGGUAGAAGUAUCAAAGCUUUUGCGGUACAGGAUGGACCCGCGUCUGAUUAGCUAGUUGGUAAGGUAACGGCUUACCAAGGCGACGAUCAGUAGCCGACCUGAGAGGGUGAUCGGCCACAUUGGAACUGAGACACGGUCCAAACUCCUACGGGAGGCAGCAGUGGGGAAUAUUGCACAAUGGGCGAAAGCCUGAUGCAGCAACGCCGCGUGAGCGAUGAAGGCCUUCGGGUCGUAAAGCUCUGUCAUCAAGGAAGAUAAUGACGGUACUUGAGGAGGAAGCCCCGGCUAACUACGUGCCAGCCGCCGCAGUAA
rnacentral:rRNA from 1 species